rnacentral:lncRNA from 1 species
AAAUUAGAUAUUAUAGAUUUUGAUUGGUGAGCCAGCAAAAUCAAUUGUGUUGAUUAUGAAUUCAAAAAAUAAUCAAUGUACGAUUUUGGUUAGUGAUCUCAAAAAAUCAAUUGGAUUUGUUUAUGAGCUUGGAUAAAAUAAAUAUGCUAUAAACAGGUAAUUAUAGUGGAAUUUCUAAAGGACUCUUAGAUGUGGACGUAGGUGCG